rnacentral:rRNA from 1 species
GACGAACGCUGGCGGCGUGCUUAACACAUGCAAGUCGAACGAAGUGGCGAACGGGUGAGUAACGCGUAAUCAACCUGCCCUUCAGCGGGGGACGACAGUUGGACACGACUGCUAAUACGGCAUGCUGAAGGAGGGGGGUGCGUCUGUUUAGGUAGUGGGAGGGGUAAGGGCCCACGAAGGCGAUGAUCAGUGGCAGGACUGCGAGGAUGAAUGGCCACACUGGGAGUGGGACCCGGCCCAGACUCCCUCGGGAGGCAGCAGUGGGGAAUCGUGCGGCAUGGAUGAAAGUCUGACGACGCAACGCGGCGGCCUUGAUGACGGCCGUCGGGUUGUAAAUCUCUGUUAAUCGGGACGCGGUACCGGAAUAGAAAGCAACGGCUAACUACGUGCCAGCAGCCGCGGUAAUAC